GAUGAAGAACGCAGCGAAAUGCGAUAAGUAAUGUGAAUUGCAGAAUUCAGUGAAUCAUCGAAUCUUUGAACGCACAUUGCGCCCGCCAGUAUUCUGGCGGGCAUGCCUGUUCGAGCGUCAUUUCAACCAUCAAGCCCCCGGCUUGUGUUGGGGACCUGCGGCUGCCGCAGGCCCUGAAAAGCAGUGGCGGGCUCGCUGUCACACCGAGCGUAGUAGCAUACAUCUCGCUCUGGGCGUGCUGCGGGUUCCGGCCGUUAAACCACCUUCAUAACCCAAGGUUGACCUCGGAUCAGGUAGGAAUACCCGCUGAACUUAAGCAUAUCAAUAAGCGGAGGA
rnacentral:misc_RNA from 1 species